rnacentral:tRNA from 1 species
GCCGGCGUAGCUCAGGGGUAGAGCAGCUGAUUCGUAAUCAGCAGGUCGUGGGUUCGAUUCCCCCCGCCGGCU